GACGAACGCUGGCGGCGUGCCUAAUACAUGCAAGUAGAACGCUGAAGAGAGGAGCUUGCUCUUCUUGGAUGAGUUGCGAACGGGUGAGUAACGCGUAGGUAACCUGCCUUGUAGCGGGGGAUAACUAUUGGAAACGAUAGCUAAUACCGCAUAACAAUGGAUGACACAUGUCAUUUAUUUGAAAGGGGCAAUUGCUCCACUACAAGAUGGACCUGCGUUGUAUUAGCUAGUAGGUGAGGUAACGGCUCACCUAGGCGACGAUACAUAGCCGACCUGAGAGGGUGAUCGGCCACACUGGGACUGAGACACGGCCCAGACUCCUACGGGAGGCAGCAGUAGGGAAUCUUCGGCAAUGGGGGCAACCCUGACCGAGCAACGCCGCGUGAGUGAAGAAGGUUUUCGGAUCGUAAAGCUCUGUUGUAAGUCAAGAACGAGUGUGAGAGUGGAAAAUUCACACUGUGACGGUAGCUUACCAGAAAGGGACGGCUAACUACGUGCCAGCAGCCGCGGUAAUACGUAGGUCCCGAGCGUUGUCCGGAUUUAUUGGGCGUAAAGCGAGCGCAGGCGGUUUGAUAAGUCUAAAGUUAAAGGCUGUGGCUCAACCAUAGUUCGCUUUGGAAACUGUCAAACUUGAGUGCAGAAGGGGAGAGUGGAAUUCCAUGUGUAGCGGUGAAAUGCGUAGAUAUAUGGAGGAACACCGGUGGCGAAAGCGGCUCUCUGGUCUGUAACUGACGCUGAGGCUCGAAAGCGUGGGGAGCGAACAGGAUUAGAUACCCUGGUAGUCCACGCCGUAAACGAUGAGUGCUAGGUGUUGGAUCCUUUCCGGGAUUCAGUGCCGCAGCUAACGCAUUAAGCACUCCGCCUGGGGAGUACGACCGCAAGGUUGAAACUCAAAGGGAUUGACGGGGGCCCGCACAAGCGGUGGAGCAUGUGGUUUAAUUCGAAGCAACGCGAAGAACCUUACCAGGUCUUGACAUCCCGAUGCUAUUUCUAGAGAUAGAAAGUUACUUCGGUACAUCGGUGACAGGUGGUGCAUGGUUGUCGUCAGCUCGUGUCGUGAGAUGUUGGGUUAAGUCCCGCAACGAGCGCAACCCCUAUUGUUAGUUGCCAUCAUUCAGUUGGGCACUCUAGCGAGACUGCCGGUAAUAAACCGGAGGAAGGUGGGGAUGACGUCAAAUCAUCAUGCCCCUUAUGACCUGGGCUACACACGUGCUACAAUGGUUGGUACAACGAGUUGCGAGUCGGUGACGGCAAGCUAAUCUCUUAAAGCCAAUCUCAGUUCGGAUUGUAGGCUGCAACUCGCCUACAUGAAGUCGGAAUCGCUAGUAAUCGCGGAUCAGCACGCCGCGGUGAAUACGUUCCCGGGCCU
rnacentral:rRNA from 1 species